UACGGGGGGAGCAAGCGUUGUUCGGAUUUACUGGGCGUAAAGGGCGCGUAGGCGGCAUGACAAGUCACUUGUGAAAUCUCCGGGCUUAACUCGGAACGGCCAAGUGAUACUGUCAAGCUAGAGUGCAGAAAGGGCAAUCGGAAUUCUUGGUGUAGCGGUGAAAUGCGUAGAUAUCAAGAGGAACACCUGAGGCGAAGGCGGGUUGCUAGGCUGACACUGACGCUGACAGCGCGAAAGCCAGGGGAGCAAACGGG
rnacentral:rRNA from 1 species